CAGGAUUCUGCCACAUAUUCCUUUACCUGAAUAUUUCCUAGAUCUGCUCUUCACACUUGCCUGUUGCGUACAGAGGUUGGAUAUGCCCGUGGAGAAUGAUGGUGCAUUGCUGGAAGCUUCAUCUGAUGGUUACUCCUAUAGCAGCUGCAGUUUCCAGAUGCGGUCUCUUGAUGGGAACAAAGACCGGACUUGAUUGACUUCUAGUAAACCCUAG